GUAGGAGGACUCUGAUUUCUCCCUAAAAGAGCCAGAGGGGCGAAGAUCCAAAGUGGGUGGGGCUAUAAAUCCCCUUUGGACACUGACAGCCUCCCGUAGGAGGGAUGCCAAGAGAGUCUAAUCCCCCGUGCUUGAACCAUUCACCUGUCUUAAUGCAGAACCCCGUCAAGGAUUCUCGAAAGCUGACGAUUCUCCAAUUCCAUCUGUGUUUACGGUCCCGCAGCCAAGCCCUCCUUGUAUGUCCUUCAGCUUCUGACGAGGGGUAGUGGAUGUGAGCAUUCGUUUUUCUUAUCUGGACUGUUUCCCCAAGUCUCCUACAUGUGCUUUUCAUAUGCUUUAUAAAUGCGCGAAGGCUGUUCCAGCUUGUUCUAAUGUUGCAGUGUUUUAACUGCCAUAACACAGCGGUAUCAGCAGAUAAAUCAACUAGAUAUGCUGGAAAAAUUACGGGCAAGAAUCCUGUUCUCGUCACCCGGACUAAUUCACCCACCAGAGGACUCUGCCUUGGGAGACUCGGAGAGAAGAGGAGAUAACAUGGGACACAGACCCGAGAACCAAACCAGCCUGAUGACCCGACGGGCCUCGAUGUCUGCACGGUUUUCACUUAAAUCAGUGGCCGGUUUCUCUAGUGCUGCCCUCCCUCUGAACCUGGGGAGUCGGUCUUUGGGGUGUUUGCUCAGGGACUCCGAAUGGGACUUCUUUCUGUGAAUCGCCGGGGUUCAAGGCAGUGUGUUGGAAUCACUUGAACUCUUACAUGGAAGAUGAAGAAGUUCUUGGUUACUUGUGUUCUUAAAAGGAUGGCUUGGACAAAAAGGCUUCAGCCUUCAGGAAUUUGGUAUUUGCACUAACUGUACAGAAUGGCAGCAAUGUUUUAUAAAGACUGAGACAGACUCCAGAGGUUGGCCAACACAGUCAAGCUUCUAUUUCUUUAAGGUGGUGGCUGGAGCCUGGCCUAGGGCUCAUGUGUGGCUGGUUAGUUCUUUACAACCCACCCACCCUGAAAGGCAGUCACCUUUUCAUGUUCGUUCUUAAGAUUUCUAAGUGCCCGAAGGAAUUUGAGAGUCGAGUCAGUUUUCAGAAAAUAAAAAUGGA